rnacentral:rRNA from 11 species
CUAAAGAACCAAAAUAUCCUUAAGACACCAGGUCCUGUGUAAUCUUGGAAGCUAAGCAGGGUCAGCCCUGAUUAGUAUUUGGAUAGGAGACCACCAACCAAUACCAUGUGCUGUAGG